AGCGAUAUCCAACAUGUUUCGGGCGGUAUUGUUCUCGGUUUUUCUGAACACACUGACGCGAGAGAACGCCCAUCUUGAAAAUGAAGCCUAACCUGUAGGCCAAGGCAUUCCUCGGAAGUUUGAUCAGUAUUAGCAGAGAAUAUAUAUUAUAUAAUAUAUGGUCUCUGGUAUUAGAUAUAUCCAGUAUCUACUGACGGAUUUUGUUUCUGUCGCUCUGUCUGUAACUUGUCGAAAACACCACGAAUAAAGAGACUGAAAUUCAUAAGAAGAGAAACUGUCAGUCUAUCUUGUUCGAGUUGGCGAAUUCCAUCUGGUUCGACAUAACCUAUCGUUACUUACCAAUCGGAACGUAAGAAUGUAUCGUAGGCAUUACGUGGGUAGUCAGGAACGUGAAUUCGGGCCGACGGCUUCUUCUAAUCCACGAUGUGGCCUGUCUCGGUGCAUAGAUAGUUGCUUGGCGUAUUGGAGUAUUCGACCGGACAGCACUCGCUACAAUGCACCAUUGUUUCCACGGUAGCCGUUCAUAUCGCCAUCGUCAUCCUGCUUACGCGGCUAAUCAUGAAUUGAUUGUCUCAUUGGGAAAGACCAGGAUCGAGUUCACAUCUUAAAAAUCAUCUCCAGGAAGAUCACUUAUUAAACUACUUGAGAGACGAAAAUCUAUCAGCUAGCCAACUACAAAGUAUCAGUACAUAUCUAUACUCAAAAUAUUUUAAUACACUGUACAAAAAAGCAGUUUUAGAUUUUUUUUUCAUGAAUUCAAAUUUUUGUCUUUGCUAAUAGACUUUGCAAUGUGUCUCUAUAUCUCUACUAUGGAAUUAACAAUUGACAGAACAUAUUUAAAGGGUCCAGAAAAGCGUCACAAGAUUCCUAUUGGCAUUUACAUUAGUAUUAGUAAAGUCGAUCUGACGGUUCUGUGAUGGCGGUGGUGUUGGUUGUUGUUGAGGGGAUGAAUGUUCAUGAAUCCGUAAAUGGAACAACGCUGUAGAGUAUAGAAGCUUGAUUAAAAUAUUAAUUGAGAUGGAAAUAAUGAUUCGACUUGGGCCACUGAUUCCGAAGCGUGCCUUUGAAUGACUCUACGUUGUUUUAAUAUACGCCUAGCGCUCACGGUUCGAUAACCAAAUUCAUUUCAAUGAUUGUUGCUUUCUUCGACGCGUCUUAUUUAGAGUCAAUUAGAAUUCUUGUAUCUUCGAUUCGUCAUAACCGUCUUAAGAUAGCGUAUAUAAUUUUUACAAUUUGUAACUAGCAUAGUGAUACUAUGUAGUAUGUCAAUCAGAUAUUGUUAACAGUUUUAUAAUAUGACUGAUUGUAAAACAUCCUCGAGCAUACGCACUCGAGAGUAAACACCAUGUAAUAGAGUUGUCCCCAUGGGGUUCAGACCCCUGGAGAACAAUCAGGGUGUGUAGUAGUGAACAACCCCAUCGAAAUCACCUUCUAUGAAAACUAAUCUCAUAGGGUGCACAUGUUUUGGCGUGAGACAGGGCGAAUCAUUGUUGAGAAUGUCAACUAUUAGUUGAGUACAACAAUGAUGUUGUCAACAGGCAAUUUUGUGCAAUGACAGACACAGUAGCAUUGUCAAUCAUGACAGUGCUUAAUAUACAGGGUUAGUCAGUAGAAAGGCGCCAGCAGAAGUUGGCCGCAAGUGGCCGACACGGCAGUGUGGCCUAUUCAAAAAGUGAUAUGUGACUGUGACCUAUUCCCAUAAGCGCAAACUGACAGUUCGCAUAGCAAUAAGGUUUUUGAAAUAUUGCAAUAGUUAGGUUAC